rnacentral:lncRNA from 1 species
GGUCUUGCCAUGAUGUGGAAAGAAAGUAUAAAGGUCGAGAUAAAAAACUAUUCUAACAACCAUAUCGACUGUCUGAUUCACUUGGAAAAUGAUAAGGUUGUUCAUUUCAAGGGUUAUUAUGGGAAUGGCGAUCCCAAAAAAAGACAGAGUUCGUGGGAUAUGUUAAGGAAAGUAGGAAGCUCUAUUAAGGUAAAAUGGAUCAUCGG